GUGAAUCAUCGAAUCUUUGAACGCAAAUUGCACUCUCUGGUAUUCCGGAGAGCAUGCCUGUUUGAGGGUCAGUUUAAAUAAAAAUCGGUGUGGUUGCUGCCUUUCGUGGUGAAGCACUGGAUUUGGGUCGUCUUGCCUUCGGUUAAGUGACCUAAAAUUUUGCAUGAUUUUUUUCAAUCGUUUUUUAAUGUUUUUACGUACGUUUGUGAUAUUGAAUUCUAUGUGUGGUCAUUCUUAUGUUUUGUUCC
rnacentral:misc_RNA from 1 species